rnacentral:lncRNA from 1 species
UGUUCAGAGUGGUAUGUUGAACUGGAUCUCCAACGGUUUUGCAAGCACACUGCCCCAGCCCGGGAGUCCUCUUCUUACGAGAGCCAACUCUGAUGCAAAAUCGCUUCAGAAUGAAGGUUCUGUAGACAGGUAAGGUGAUGAACAGUAUUCCUAUCAUGUACAUCAGUCCACUGAGGAAUCAUUGUCCAUGAAGUGUGUUUGCAGCACACACAAACACACACUAACAGCGUGAGCGCUCUCUGUCUGCCAGGGCUGGAGUUAUUGGCUGGAUCUCACAGGGAAUUGGAAAAGUGGUCCCACAGCCUGAUGGGAAAUACAUACAGGAAAAGACAACAGAAUCUGAAGACGUCACAGAGGUUAGCAAAUGGCGCCCGGGGAGCAGUUGGGGGUUCAGUGCCUUGCUCAAGGGCACCUAAGUCAUGGUAUUGAGGGUGGAGAGAGCGCUGUACAUUCACUCCCCCCACCCACAAUUCCUGCCGGCCCGAGACUCGAACUCACAACCCUUCGAUUGGGAGUCCGACUCUCUAACCAUUAGGCCACGACUUCCCUUGAAGAAAAACAGCCAAAGCAUGAACAGCCAAAGUUGAAUUAAUGAACACUAUAGUAAACUAUAUUUACUGUGUAUCUCUUACACCAGAUCAGGAGCCUUUGCCACAUAUACCAGUAGUAGAACUGAUGUCAGAAGACGAGGCGUCUGAUGUGGAACCAACCGCUCAGUUCCCUCCUAAUGUAAUGAGCUGGAUAAAGAGUGGCUUCCAGAAUGCUAUUCCACACCAUGUGAACAGACCCCCAAAUUCCAGUUCGUCCACACCGAGGUCAUCACAGUGCUCAAACAAAGUUUAUUCACCUCCUCCAGAGUCAGUAACCAGCGUGACAGAGAUCGAUUCAAAAACUCCCAGUAUGAUGGGUUGGAUUGUUCAGGGUCUGGGUCUUUCAAUGCCACAACCGGUGCUUAAAAACAAAGAAGGAUGUUCGGAGGACGGGAAGAUUGUGCAAAAUGGGGAGAGGACACUGAGAACCCUUUAAACAAAAGGAGAGAGAGCACAACACAGCAGUACACAGUCACAGACAAAUGGACAGUGAAGACAGAUGCAUUUGAAGAAGAACAAUUACUUUGUAAAUUUCUUGAAUGACCAGGCAGCUAUGAAAAUGUACUGAAUGUAAUGCCCGACUUUCUCUGUACUGUAUAACAAAUAUAUUUUAAAAACAUUUAUUUAACUUACUGUAUAACUAACCAAAAACAAAUAUAUAUUUUUAAUAACAUUUAUGUUUAACUUCAAGUUAGACUCAGUUUUGUAUGAAUAGCUGGAAUCUCUCAGAUGGGUGUUUGUUGUUGCAGCAGUGAUCUUUAUAAACUGACAUUUAGAUUGGCACGAGUGUACAUGUCUUAAAACAUUUAUGAUCCUCAUGAGAUGUAAUUAUCAUUCAUUUUACUGCAAGUUUCCCUAAUAUGUGUUAAAAAAAGUACACAAAUUAAAUGAGUAGAAAGAAAACAUUAUUUUAAAAAGAGAAAAAGUUGUAUUGCCUGGACUUAUAAUUGUGGCUAUACUCUGUGCCUGCUUUUCAGGCUGUUUUUAAGACAUGUACAUUACUGUUCAAAAGUUUUGGGUCAGUAAGAUUUAAAAAAAUAUAUAUAUGUUUUUCAAAUCUGUCAUGGUCCCCAAGGCUGGAUUUAUUUGAUCACAAAUACAGGAAAAAUACCUAUUAUAGUUUAAAAUAACUGAAUUCUAUUUGAAUAUUUUUAAGAUGUCAUUUAUUCCUGUGAUGGCAAAGCUGAAUUUGUGUCACAUGAUCCUUCAGAAAUCAUUCUGAUAUGCUGAUUUGCUGCUCAAGAAACAAUUAUUAUUAUUAUUAUCAAUGUUGUAAAACAGUUCUGUGCUGCUUAAUAUUUUUGUGGAAACCAUGAUAAGUUUUUUCUGGAUUCAUUAAUGAAUAGAAAGUUCAAAAGAACAGCAUUUAUAAGAAACAGAAAUCUUUGUACCAUUAUAAAUGUCUUACUGUCACUUUUAUUUAUUCCUGUGAUGGACAAAGCUGUAAUUUGUGUCACAUGAUCCUUCAGAAAUCAUUCUGAUAUGCUGAUUUGCUGCUCAAGAAACAAUUAUUAUUAUUAUUAUCAAUGUUAGAAAACAGUUCUGUGCUGCUUAAUAUUUUUGUGGAAACCAUGAUUAAGUUUUUUUUCUGGAUUCAUUAAUGAAUAGAAAGUUCAAAAGAACAGCAUUUAUAAGAAACAGAAAUCUUUGUACCAUUAUAAAUGUCUUACUGUCUACUUUUUAUCAAUUUAAUGCAUCCUUGCUGAAUAAAAGUAUUUAUUUAUUUUUUAAAAAGUAAACAAGUUACUGUGCUGCUUAAUAUUUUUGUUGGUAAACCAUGAUAAGUUUUUUUUCUUGGUAUUCAUUAAAUGAAUAGAAAGUUCAAAAGAACAGCAUUUAUAAGAAACAGAAAUCUUUGUACCAUUAUAAAUGUCUUACUGUCACUUUUUAUCAAUUUAAUGCAUCCUUGCUGAAUAAAAGUAUUUAUUUAUUUUUUAAAAAUCUUAUUGACCCCAAAUUUUUGAACGGUUUUUGAACACUUUAUAUGUUUUGAAUUAUUGUCAUUUAAUCUGUAUGUAUUUAAUGUAUAUUAAUAUUUUAUAUACUUAAUGUUAUUGUCUUACUGUCACUUUUUAUUACAAUUUAAUGCAUCCUUGCUGAAUAAAAGUAUUUAUUUAUUUUUUAAAAAUCUUAUUGACCCCAAAUUUUUGAACGGUUUUUGAACACUUUAUAUGUUUUGAAUUAUUGUCAUUUAAUCUGUAUGUAUUUAAUGUAUAUUAAUAUUUUAUAUACUUAAUGUUAUUGUAAUAUUGUAUUAAUGCAUUUUACUAAUAAAGGAAAUUACAUAAUUGCUCUCAUGUAAAAGGUUCAGUUUCUAUUGGCAUAAUAAUAAUAAUAAUAAUAAAAUUCCUUUGAAAAACACAUGCGGAUAACUUUGACUCUAUUUAAUUUUACAGAUGUUUCCUACUUUCUAAACACUCAGAUGCCAGUGCGGACUGAUGUUUGAAAUGUUAAAAGUAAAGGAAUUAUUAAAGCAAAACAGGUGUAAAUUAUUGACCUGUAUAAUUGUUUUGCUUCAAAAUACCUCAUCACAUUAAAUUUAAGAGUACAAAAACCAGCGCAGUAAUGAAUAUAAAAUAUUGUACACCACAGAAUCAUGUCAUGACAUUUUUUACAUUCCUAAUGUGAAGUUUUAAAACAGUCCUC